UCCAGCUCACUGAGUCAAGGCAUUGGUCAGAUAUGUGAGACAUCCAGAUUCAAACCCUCACUCUACCUGAAUCAGAGCAGUGAUUCAGAGCAAUCCUCCCCAAAGACACCUAAUCUAUCAGUCUUGCUGCUAUACCAAGGAAAAACAGUCUGUUCUCAUAUGCAGCAGUGAAACAUACAGAACCUUCUUCUACCACUCAUACAGAAUCUGCCAACAAGCAGCCAAAAGAAACAUCUUCCAG
rnacentral:lncRNA from 1 species